rnacentral:rRNA from 1 species
UACGGAGGGGGCUAGCGUUGUUCGGAAUUACUGGGCGUAAAGCGCACGUAGGCGGCUUUGUAAGUUAGAGGUGAAAGCCCGGGGCUCAACUCCGGAAUUGACCUUUAAGACUGCAUCGCUAGAAUUGUGGAGAGGUAAGUGGAAUUCCGAAGUGUAGAGGUGAAAUUCGUAGAUAUUCGGAAGAACACCAGUGGCGAAGGCGACUUACUGGACACAUAUUGACGCUGAGGUGCGAAAAGCGUGGGGAGCAAACAGG